GACGAACGCUGGCGGCAUGCUUUACACAUGCAAGUCGAACGGUAACAGGCCGCAAGGUGCUGACGAGUGGCGAACGGGUGAGUAAUACAUCGGAACGUGCCUGAUCGUGGGGGAUAACGGAGCGAAAGCUUUGCUAAUACCGCAUACGAUCUACGGAUGAAAGCAGGGGACCCUCGGGCCUUGCGCGAACGGAGCGGCCGAUGGCAGAUUAGGUAGUUGGUGGGAUAAAAGCUUACCAAGCCGACGAUCUGUAGCUGGUCUGAGAGGACGACCAGCCACACUGGGACUGAGACACGGCCCAGACUCCUACGGGAGGCAGCAGUGGGGAAUUUUGGACAAUGGGCGAAAGCCUGAUCCAGCAAUGCCGCGUGCAGGAUGAAGGCCUUCGGGUUGUAAACUGCUUUUGUACGGAACGAAAAGUCUCGGGCUAAUACCCUGGGGCCAUGACGGUACCGUAAGAAUAAGCACCGGCUAACUACGUGCCAGCAGCCGCCGUAAGAC
rnacentral:rRNA from 1 species